rnacentral:lncRNA from 1 species
UAAUUCCUUCUUUCUUGUCGAUCUGAUUCUCUUCUUCAUCUUCAUCGGCGAUCUCUCGAUCUCAAUCUCAAGAGAUCGAGAAGAAAAACAUUGAACACUCGAUCUCUCAAUCUCCAAUCUCUUCUUAUCAUUCUCUUCUUCACCAUCGAUCUCUCAAUCUCCAAUCUCUUCUUCCUCAUCAACCUUCCACAUCGAUCACAAGAGAAAAAGUUAUCUUCAAAGUUCAAAUCUCAAGAGAGAGGCGAAGUUCUCUUCAGACGAAAUUGGAGUUUUUAGUUUUGCUUCGCACUUUCUCUCCUUAAGGUAUUUCGAAUUGAACGAUUGUUUAUGAUUUUCAAUUGAUUUCCAGCUUCAUUCUUCUCUCAAUUGUUUAUGAUUGUUUAUGACUUAGGGUUCUAAAUCAAAGGUUUUAUCAAUCUCUAUUGUUUAUGUAAAGUUUUGUUGAUUGAAUUUCACUGAUUGCAGUUUAUCGACUUAUAAAUGUGAUUGAGAUUGUUAGGUUUAAUGGUCAUUAUACAUAUGAUUUGAUAUGGUUAGGUUCAAUGAUCAACAAAUGUUCUUAAAACCUGGAUCCAAAUUCCAAAUACUGUGCAUUUGCCUCAUAAAUACCUUUUUUUCUAGUCACAAUUUUAUUCAAAACACAGUUGUUAAAUGCCUGGUGCGCUGUUUUUUGUCCCACGAUGGUCCUUGAUCUGCCUGGUGCGCUAUUUCAAUUGUACAUUUGUCUUCAUCAAAACUGCUAUAUAUCACCAUCAUCACAAGGAGAGUAGUAAUACUGCACAUGUCUGCCUUACUUAGCUGAUUGAUUGAGAUUAGUUUCUAGAUAUCAGUAUACUUAUGAAGUUUGAGAUGGUUCAAGGAAUGUAUGUGUAGACUAGUAUCUACAAGUGUCUGUUUCAUGAGUAAGAGAGUGAUCUUCUAGAACUAGGCCCUGAACCCAAUAUACAAUGACCUGCCUUUAUUAGUUUUCUUUUGAUUUGUAAUAGUCUUAUUCUUUCAUCUGAUGCAACAUUCAGAUUUAGAAUUCCAAGAAACCGCUUUGGAAAUAGAAGAUUUGGGCCCUGUUCGGUUGUAGAAAAAUGAGCUUGUUUUCCAAAAAAUGUUUUUCGUAGAUAACAAAAAACAGAGAACCUGUUCGCUUGUACUUCCUUUUCAGAUUUUAGAAAUGGGUUUUCAGUUUUCUAAAAAGUUUCCAUUUUCUGUUUUGGCUUAUAGACGGAAAACUCUAAAACGACAUUUUCUAAAUUAUAGAAAACACGAGUUAAGGUUAAGUCCUCCAUCAAAAUAUAUAUCUCUCGUCGCUCUCCGAAGGUUCUCUACUAUGUUUGAAAGCCAUCAUAUGACCAAAAAUCACGCAUUGAAGUUAUACACCUGAUGUUUCUAAUUAAAUCUUGUUCUUUCAAAUGCUGAAAUAAUAAGUCACCCAUUUGAUUUUGCAAUCUUUAGCAAUGAAAUAAAUAAUUCUUAUGUAGAAUCUAGCCUAUUGACGACAAACUAGAAAUUUUUUAAAUUAAAUUGCUUGUUAUAUUUUUGUCUGAUAUGAUUAUUUAUGUCAUUUAUAUGCAUGUAUGACUAUUUCUUAUUGUUUUUGUGAAAUUCAUCGUUUUAUUGGUAGAGAAUUUUGUUUGUUUGAAUAUUGGUCUUACGUGGUAAAAGCUACAAAUUUACCUCAUAUUAAAGUUUACACUAUUUAUAUGUAUGUAGAUUCAUCAUGGAGAGGCUUAAUUCUAUUGACAAAAGUUGGAUACCAUUAGAUGUCAAUGACUCGCAUUUUAUUGGAGGUCUUGAAUUGUUUAUUGACUUUGCCGUAAAACAUUGUCGGGGUUGUAUAUGCAGCUCUCAAUCUGAUUUAGAAGCUACUCUCUUUAAGGUACCUAUUUUCUCUCUUCUGUUAUAGUUAUGUUAAGAAAGAUAUGAAGUUAUCUAUGCAUGUUGUAUUGGUUGAAGACUACUUUCCAAGAAGCCUCGUGCCAUUAAGGAAGUAUAUUGUUUCCUUUCUUUGUCAUUCAAAUGCAUGAUUUAUAGUCAUUCUGUUAUUAGUUUCUUGAUGAUUGUGAAGUGAUUGUUUUAAAAGAUCUUCUCCAUUAAAUUUUACUUGUCAGAGUAUCAAAUAGUUACAUUUAUAGAGCAAUAAACACAAUUCAUACUUUAUAGGUACCUUAAUAAUUGUAGGAACUUUAGCAAUAAACUCAAUCCAUACUUUAUAGGUACCUUGAUAAUUGUAGGAACUUUAGCAAUAAACGCAAUCCAUACUUAAUAUAGAGCUCUUGUUACUGGAAAUUCCAUUGUUUUGCACGGAGAUUUGCAUAAGUACUUAAGAUAUGAGGUAGAUAGGAGCUGAGGACAACACUUUGCUCCCAACUGGUAUAGAGCGAAGGUUUUUCGUUUUACUAUACAAUACUAUCACUAUUCCUUGUAAUUUAGGUUUGACGAGGUUUUUCUUGGUUUGAGGGUCACAUACACGUUGCAUAAUGUGUGUUUAUAGAGGAAAAGGUAGGCCAUCUUCUACAUAAGCUGUUUUGAAUAAAGAGUCGUUGUUUGGUAGUUAGGUGUGCUGCUAAUUCUAUGGUCCAUAUGUGUUGUCAAUCUAGGAAACUGGUCUAUAUAAUUUUGUACUUCCUUUAAAAAAACUCCACAUGUAAGUAUGCGUGAUAGUUUUGAUGGUUCCAAUCCAUGUCUAUUUGAUUUCACAAAGUACUUUUAUUUGUUCUUAAUAUUGAGAGGGCGAUCAAAACAAAGUUGGAGGGUGAAAUUUAGAGUUUCAUUCUUUGCAGUUCUCCUCUUGUUUACACUUCACCUAGCUAAUAAUAUUAUCACACCCCCCUAUUUGAUAAGUUACCUAAUAAUUUGGAUGAAGAUAUUUGUGGCUGCUUCUUGUCCUGGUCUCGUCACUUUAUUUCUCACGCAAAACGUAUAUGUAGUUGCUUGACUUUCAUUAAUCAUUAUUAGUAAGAAUUAAUUCUUUUGAGUUUUGCACUCUAUUCUUACUCUGUUGUAUAAUGGCAGUACAGAACCUUCCAUUCAUUGAGAACAUGGAGAAAAGGAUUCAGAGUGCAAGCUCAAUGUUUUUACCUACUGCUUAAUACAGAACUGGGAGACGUUGGUGGUUGACGCGUGGUAGGGGUGACUGCUCUCUGUUCACUAGAACAUGCCAAUAUUGCUGCAGACCAAAAGAAAGGAGGCAGGACAUAAUUGUUCACUAAAAACAGGCCAAUAUUGCUGCAGACCAAAGGAAGGGAUUUGUAGGAUAGCUUUUGAUGGUUGCGAACUGUCACAAGAACGUAAUUGUUUUGCACUCCAUUUUAUUUCAUUGGUGUAAUUGUUUAAAGUUGAUGAUAUACAUGUUGUUGUUGUAACCAUUUAUUUUGGAAUUUUGUCUUAAAUGUUUGAGAAGAUAAAGUAAAAUGUUUUCUCUUUUGGAAUUGCAUCAGGCACUGGCAGUACUGAAAUAUUGAAAAUGUGAAUGUAGGAAUUUUUUUUUUUUU